rnacentral:rRNA from 1 species
UACGAAGGGGGCUAGCGUUGCUCGGAAUUACUGGGCGUAAAGGGUGCGUAGGCGGGUCUUUAAGUCAGGGGUGAAAUCCUGGAGCUCAACUCCAGAACUGCCCUUGAUACUGAGGAUCUUGAGUUCGGGAGAGGUGAGUGGAACUGCGAGUGUAGAGGUGAAAUUCGUAGAUAUUCGCAAGAACACCAGUGGCGAAGGCGGCUCACUGGCCCGAUACUGACGCUGAGGCACGAAAGCGUGGGGAGCAAACAGG